rnacentral:rRNA from 1 species
AUUGAACGCUGGCGGCAGGCUUAACACAUGCAAGUCGAGCGGAGAUGAGGUGCUUGCACCUUAUCUUAGCGGCGGACGGGUGAGUAAUGCUUAGGAAUCUGCCUAUUAGUGGGGGACAACAUUCCGAAAGGAAUGCUAAUACCGCAUACGUCCUACGUGAGAAAGCGGGGGAUAUUCGGACCUUGCGCUAAUAGAUGAGCCUAAGUCGGAUUAGCUAGUUGGUGGGGUAAAGGCCUACCAAGGCGACGAUCUGUAGCGGGUCUGAGAGGAUGAUCCGCCACACUGGGACUGAGACACGGCCCAGACUCCUACGGGAGGCAGCAGUGGGGAAUAUUGGACAAUGGGGGGAACCCUGAUCCAGCCAUGCCGCGUGUGUGAAGAAGGCCUUAUGGUUGUAAAGCACUUUAAGCGAGGAGGAGGCUACUGAGACUAAUACUCUUGGAUAGUGGACGUUACUCGCAGAAUAAGCACCGGCUAACUCUGUGCCAGCCGCCGCAGUAACAC